rnacentral:rRNA from 1 species
UACGAAGGGUGCAAGCGUUGUUCGGAAUUACUGGGCGUAAAGGGCGUGUAGGCGGAUUAACCAGUCAGGAGUGAAAUCCCGGGGCUUAACUUCGGAAUUGCUUUUGAGACGGUUAAUCUAGAGUAUAUUAGGGGACAAUGGAACGCCCAGUGUAGAGGUGAAAUUCGUAGAUAUUGGGUAGAACACCGGAGGCGAAGGCGAUUGUCUGGGGUAUAACUGACGCUGAGGCGCGAAAGCGUGGGGAUCAAAC